rnacentral:rRNA from 1 species
CCCUUAGAUGUUCUGGGCCGCACGCGUGCUACACUGAGUGGAUCAGCGGGUCAGGUUGCGCGAAAGUGUUUCCUAAUCUUGAAAUCCGCUCGUGAUGGGGAUUGACGGUUGCAAUUUUCCGUCAUGAACGAGGAAUACCUUGUAAGCGCGGGUCAUCAUCCCGCGCUGAAUACGUCCCUGCCCUUUGUACACACCGCCCGUCGCUCCUACCGAUUGAGUGGUCCGGUGAGGCUUUGGGAUCUGAGCAAAAAGAGCGUUUCGCUCGUUUGGCUCGGAAAACUCAGUCGAACCUUAUCAUUUAGAGGAAGGAGAAUUCGUAACA